AUGACACACCUGCUUCACCAUGCUUUCCGGAUGAUAUUCACCUACAUGUACACACAAGUCGUAUGCUUCGCCCAAAAAGUCGAAAGUAGUACCAAGGACCGGCGUGAUCACGUUUUCAGUUGGGUUCUCUCUGCAACACCUGACAGCCUUCUCGAUCGUGCGCUGAUUCAACUUGGGUGCGGUGUUCUGCUCGGUGCGGCAGCACCAAUCCUAAGCCUGCAAAACACAGGCAUGCAUUGCAUAAAUUUUCUGAAUGCACAGAGCAAUCAGCCUGCAAACACAGGCACAUAUUGCAUAAUUUUUCAGAACACAGAGCAAUCAGCCUGCAAACACAGGCACAUAUAG
rnacentral:rRNA from 1 species